AAUAAGAAGUAAAACUUACACCCAAUUUCGACUUGGUUUAUGGAAAUCAAUUCCCUUAUUAAU
rnacentral:tRNA from 1 species